rnacentral:lncRNA from 1 species
AGGAAGAUCAGGCUCCAGACACAGAUGCCCUACUCCAAGAACACCAGGAGCUCUUGGACAGUUUCGAUGUCCACGAUGAGGCCUCACCACCACCACUCAACGGCCUCAUCAGACUGGGCUACCAGACAGCAAAUGUCUUCAAAAGGAUGGAAGGAGGCGAGGCCAUAUCUCAUUGAUAACUGGCUGGCAGUAGAGGAUCAUCACCCAGAUGUCAACAGUGUUCAACCCAGCUGUCAUGUGCGGUAGAAAUUUCCUUCCGUGCCCCUUCUUCUGUGCCAAUUGUGAC